CCUACGGGUGGCAGCAGUGGGGAAUAUUGCACAAUGGGGGAAACCCUGAUGCAGCGACGCCGCGUGAGUGAAGAAGUAUUUCGGUACGUAAAGCUCUAUCAGCAGGGAAGAAAAUGACGGUACCUGACUAAGAAGCCCCGGCUAACUACGUGCCAGCAGCCGCGGUAAUACGUAGGGGGCAAGCGUUAUCCGGAUUUACUGGGUGUAAAGGGAGCGUAGACGGCAGCGCAAGGCUGGAGUGAAAUCCCAUGGCUUAACCAUGGAACUGCUUUGGAAACUGUGCAGCUAGAGUGCAGGAGAGGUAAGCGGAAUUCCUAGGGUAGCGGUGAAAUGCGUAGAUAUUAGGAGGAACACCAGUGGCGAAGGCGGCUUACUGGACUGUAACUGACGUUGAGGCUCGAAAGCGUGGGGAGCAAACAGGAUUAGAUACCCCUGUAGUC
rnacentral:rRNA from 1 species